GGCUAUCUAGAGAUAUUUCCUCCCCAUUUAACCCUUUCACUGACCUAUUUCCCAACCCUUUCAUUUAUCCCCAAAUCAACAAGAAAUCCCGUCAGAAGCGAACAGCGAGGAAAAUUCUUGGGAAUUUGUCAAUGAGAAACGUUGAGAUUAUUUUUAUCCCUCUUCGUCCGAAACCAAUUCCACCUUCCACGAUACAGUACCAAUCCUUAAAAUCCCACAAAGUGCGGUGUCAUAGUGGACAACUUAUGUGAUUUCUUCUUUGUUGAUUUGUAAAAUCUUCUUACCCACGGCUUGCUAUGUCGUAGUGGGUUAAUUGAGGAAGGAAAAGAAAUAGUAGAUAUGAUGGACGUAGAAGUAUUGGUAGAAUCUAAUAAUGAGAACUUGUUGGACAAUGUAAUCACAAUGGAAGGUGAUAAUUUAGGAGGAGAUGUUGUGAAUUUUCUAAGGUGGGUAUGAAGUUUAACGAUGAAAAAGAGCUGUUUGAAUUCUACAAAUAAUAUGCCUACGACGUAGGUUUUUCGACGAGGAGAAGAAUUCUAGGAAGGAUGGGGAUGGAAUGGUAUGAUAUGUUACGCUGACUUGUAGUCAUGAGAGACGAAAAAGCUAUAACACAAGAACUUCUUUAAGGCCACAACCAACAAUUCAAACGGGUUGUAAAGCAAUGCUAAUUGCUUCCUCAGAUAUUCAUGAAAUAUGGAAAAUUUGCACAAUUGACCUUGAGCACAGUCAUAAAACAAGACCGUCAAAAUCUAGGUUGUAUCGUUACAACCGAGAAUUGAGUGCACAUGUGAAACGAAAGCUAGAGAUAAAUGAUACGGCCAGAAGAGUUACAACUAUGCAGUUGUUGAAGCCGGUGGAUAUAAGAAUGUGACGUUCAUAGAAAAUGAUUGUAGAAAUUACGUUGAACAAGUGAAGCGAUUAAAACUAGGUGAAGGAGAUGUCGUAGCAAUACAAUCGUACUUUUCACUAAUGCAAGCAUCUUGCUUUGGGUUUUAUUUUUCUAUGGAUUUAGACAACUAGUCACGACUUAAUAAUCUUUUCUGGGCGAACAAAAGGUAUAGGCAAGCGUCUAAGGAGUUCGAGGACGUAAUGUCGUUUGACCAAUAUUCACACAUGGCAAUGCACAUCAAUAGGCGGUUGUGUCUUGUAAUGCAAGCACGUGAUGGUAGUAUGGAUUUGUAGUUAGAAGCUAUGUGUUUAUGUCGGGGUUGUAAAGAAGUAUGAUGCAUUUGUUUGUUACAUUAAUAAGCUGUGUGUUUCAGUUUGUUUGUCGGGUUUGGCAUUCAUUUAUGUUACUAGUUUUCAUUGUAUAAUGUUUUAUUUUAUACCCAUGAGUCCAUGAAUUUUUUUGUUUUUAUUUUGCCUCUAUGCUUACUAUGCACAAGAAUGACUUAAUUUUGAGUAAUGGUCCAUCUUUUUGUCACAAUCAAUCCCAGUAAGUCUUGAGCUU